GUAUGAUCCCUGUUGCCCCAGUUCUGGUCCCGCUGGCUCCAGUCCAGGUCUCCGUUAAUCCCAGUGUCCCCCCUGUCCUCCCACCCCACUCUCACCCCCUUUUCUCUCCCCACAGAGCUCCUGAGCCGCCGGCGGCCGCAGCCCCUCCCCGUGGCCUCGGGCCCAGCCGGGACCCCCCAGUCCAUCCCAACACUCAGUUUGGGAGUUUGUUUGUCCUCCUCAGCCCUGUUUUUAUUCUGACCCCAGCCGGCUGCUCCCAGUGUUCCCAGGAAAGCUUCCCAGUUCUCCCCAGUCCUUUUGUUCUCGGCCUGCUCAUCUGGCUGUUUGCUGGUUCCCGUUUGCCUUCGUUUCCUGUGCCCUGUUCUGCCCCCAGCCCGGACCUGCUUGGACUUCACGGGAGAGGUUUGACCCCCCUCCAGAGGAACCUUUUGGGGAGGAGGUCGCCCUUUCCCUCCUCCGCUCCCGUGUUGGCAGUGGCGUGUGUUCAUCGGCCAAAAGGGGGAAUUCCCGGCCACAGCCAGCCACAGACAGCGGGAGUUUCGUGGGAAGAGCCCCUUUUUCUCCUUUUCCACUUUUUCCCCUUUUUGUUCUUCUGCCAAUACACAGAUAUCCUUUAAUAAAGAGCUGUUAUUUUUCCUUUUUCCAUA